UGCCAGCUUAUUGCCUGAGGACAACUGUAGUUCAGUUUCAUCAUUUACGUUUAAACAAUGAAAUAUUCAAAUCAUGAAAAAACAUCGGGUUUGAUGCUUCUUGGUUUAAAUACACUGAAUGGAGUCAGAUUUCAGUGUAUUUAGGUGAGUUUUGAGGCUUUGUAGUUUGUUAUUGAAAAGUUUGCGUAGCUGCUGCACAUUUUCACAGCAGGUCAAACGUUUGCGCAAACUUUCACUCCACGUUUGUUUUGUUACAUGCCGACUUGUGAGUAAAAUAUGGCGCCGCACAUUUUUUGUGCAUACGCAUUUAUACAUGAGGCUCCAGAGCCGAAUAUGUGAUUCAUUCGUUUGAACAGAUCUGG